UUUUUUAUGUGCAUUGUGGGUAGGUUUUGAACGUGUGGAUGGAUGUGCGAAGAUCGACGACAUAUUCUGGUAGUGUUUUCCGUAUAUUUGGUGUUCCUGUUUCACCUAUAUAAUCGGAUUUUCGAUAACAGAAUCCCUAUCGGGACAAAGCAGUAAUGUAAACGGACUGCAAUUUGUAUUAAUACUAUUUCUUACUAAAAUUGAAUUUGACGACAAUUAAAACGGAGUAUAGCUACCUGAGAGACUUUUACAUAUGGACUUAAAAUUUUGAUGAUAUUUGCUUCAUCAUCAAUUAAUAAACAAUCAACAAGAUGGUUUUAUCUCAAAGACAAAGAGAAGAAUU